CCUUCAAUAGCUCAGUUGGUGGAGCGGAGGACUGUAGUGGAAACAGCUAGGAAUCUUAAGGUCGCUGGUUCGAAUCCGGCUCAAAGGA
rnacentral:tRNA from 1 species